CAACUAAAUGGCUGCAGUAACUAUGACUGUGUGAAUGUAGCAUAAUCACUCGCCACUUAAUUAGUGGAUAGUAUGAAUGGUUAAACGAAAAUUUCUCUGUCUUAUGUAAUAAAAAAAAAAUUUAAAUUAUAGUCAAGAUGUAUAUGAAAUUGUAAGACGAAAAGACCCUAUAAAGCUUAACUAUAAUCUUUUAUAAAUUUUAUUAACAAUAAUUAAUUAAAAGACUGGUAGUUUCAUUGGGGCGAUGGUUUCUAAAAAAUAACAGAGACAAACUAAAUUAAUAUUAUAAUUUACUGUAUAAUACAUAAAUUUAACAGUUACUAAGUAGGUUAUAAAGACCCAUUAUUAUCAAUAAAAAGAAAUAAUGAUCAAAAAAUAAAAGCUACUUUAGGGAUAACAGGAUAAUAUUUUCUAAGAGCCCUUAUCGAAGAAAAAGUUUAUCACCUCGAUGUUGAAUUAAGAUAACCUAAUGACGCAGC
rnacentral:rRNA from 1 species